rnacentral:lncRNA from 1 species
CAUGCUCUGUCUCUCUCUGUCCCAAAAAUAAAUAAACCUUAAAAAAAAAAAAAAAAAAGAUAGGACAGCCUGGUCUGAUAGAAAACAUCAUGAUAUAGUAAGCACACUUUUAAAAACAAAUCCUCUUUGUUCUAUGAUCUCCUCAUUACUCAAUAUUUGUGUCUUUAUGAGAAUAUGCAUGAUCAUAAUAGUUUGAAAUUAGAUAGUUCUUUAUUAACCUUAAACUCUGGCCUCCCCUCAGUCCUCCCCUCAUAUCACCUUCUAGGAACUGGAAUGCCGAUGUGUCUGGGUCGGAGGCAAGGAUAAAUUUAUAUCCACGGUCACAGGGGUGAGGCCUCUGUCUUGACAUUCAGUCAUUUGGGGAAUUGCUUUCUGUUCCACCAGGCAAACCCAGCGUGGUAGCCUAAAACUGCUUGUGUCUGGGGGUGCUUCAAGAAGUAGGGUGGUGGAGAGGUUCUGCCAGCCGCCCCGUCUCCCUUGACGCUUGUCUCUAAACCAGUUCUUCCAGCUUCCUCAUGUGAUGGGAGCUCUCCGAGUAGCCUUCCAGGAUGUUCUUCCUUCCUAAGUCAGCCAAGUUCUAGUCUCCUGCUUGCCAGUCAGAUCCUUGCCAAUGCAAGUUAGGGGGAUUGGAGGCACUCUGAUCUAGCUCUCGCGAGGGAGCAUCUCCCUCCGUAUUAUCCCUUAGAUAUGCCUCGUCAUAUCAGGCUGCUCAGGAGGCUUAGGGGAAAGGGGGACCAAGGGGCAGGUCAUCGCGCUGUUGGGGGAGCCCCUGGAACUUGUCUCUAGCCGAGGCCAAAUGAAUCCUUCACGUCAUUUAGGCCAGCUGAGAACUUGAGAGGCUUAAAGCAAAAGCCUUUCUCCUCUCCUUCCCUUUCCCUCCUCCUUCUCUCUUUCUCCCUUGCCCAACCCCUCUACUCUCUCUCUCUCUCUCUUCCUGAUGGUAGGAAAGGACUGAAGUGAUUAGGAGCCUGACUCUCCCACCCUGUUCUUUUCGAUCUCAAUACAAUAGAUCAUCCUAUCCCCUACACCACCCAGUAAGCCAUGCAUUAUACAUGAAGGUGCUUGUCUGCUUUGGGGAGCCCUCAGCGCCAGAAAAGUGCUGGCUGUGCACAUCUGGGAUUGGCAUUCACACAGCAUAAAUGGACAGAAAUGACAGGUUCAAGGCUGGGAAUGCCCAAGUAGACUGGGAACAGAUUCAUUUAGGAACACUGAAAAUCUAUUAAAUACCUCUUCAGAGGUGCCUGGGGGGCUCAAUCAGUUAAGCGUCUGACUUCAGAUCAGGUUGUGAUCUCACAAUUUGUGAGUUCGAGCCCCACAUUGGGCUCACUCCUGUCAGUGCAGAGCCCGCUUUGGAGCCUCUGUUCCCCUGUCUCUCUGCCCCUCCCCUGUUCGUGCACAUGCUCACUCACUUGCUUGCUUGCUCGCUCUCUCUCUCAAAAAUACAUAAACAUUGGGGCACCUGGGUGGCUCAGUUGGCUGAGUACCUGACUUCAGCUCAGGUCAUGAUCUCACAGUCGUGGGUUCGAGCCCCGCGUCAGACUCUGUGCUGACAGCUCAGAGCCUGGAGCCUGCUUUGGAUUCUGUGUCUCCCUCUCUUUCUCUGUCCCUCCCCUGCUCUCGCUCUGUCUCUGUCUCUCUCAAAAGUAAAUAAACAUUAAAAAAAUAAAAAUAAAUAAACUUAAAAAAUAAACAUUUAAAAAAUAAUAAUAAUAAAAUAAAUGCCUCUUCAUCCGUGUUCAAAGGAAAUGAUUUUAAGAUUUUUGUUUGUUUGUGUACAUUUUGGAAUGCCCACUUCUUCAUGGAGGCUAAUAUGUUGUAUAUGAAUCUUCAGUCUAACAUUUUAUUUCAUUAAAUGAUAAGAUGAUAAUGAUGAAAUAGCAGUUAUUUAUUGAUCACUUUCUAUCAAGCACAGCACUGCAUGAUUUAUACAUAUUCUCUCAUUUAAGCCUCACACCUGGUGCUAUAACCUUCUUUCCUUUGUAAAAACUCCGGACUGACAAAAGGGACAAAUGUUCGCUCUUAUUUCCAGUUGCCAGAUUUAUGUUCUCCACUCUGACUACACGUUAGAAUAACCUGAUGAGCUUGUAAAAUUGAUGCUGAAGUCCUACUCCCAGCCAAUGAAGUCAGAAGGCCGUGGGUAGAUAUCACUAUAGAACAAAUGAAGCUAAUUGCACGGAUUCCGAUGGAAAAGAAGGAGACUACCAUUGCAUUAAAAAUGUGAUGGUACAUUCAUGGUUAGAAGAGUGUGAACUAGAGAGAGAAAAAGAUAGAACUACACAGUAAGCUUUUAGCUUCAAUGAAUGGGAGGUUAAGUGAAUGGGGUGACAGAUAAUGAAACAAACGUAGAGUCGCUGGUUUUCGAUUUUAUAACAAAAUGUGUUACAAGUAUCCUGAGCCCUGAUUCAGAAGGAUCAAACUAUCGAAAUAGUCAACAGUGCUAAGAAAUAGAACUGGGGCUAGAUAGUAUGCAAAAUAAGGACAUGAAACUAAUAAAAUGUGCCAACAUUUACUGAAAGAAAAGGCCCAAGGUGAUGAAUGUCAAAAUCUCUUCCCAGGAGAUCCCAAUGUACGGCAGGGAUUGAAAAUUGGUGCUUUGCCUUCUUCUUCUCCAUCCAGUCUUCCUACCCUGCACAUCUCCACUUUGCUAUUUGGCAUCAGGACUGUGACUUAUGCUAUUUCCAGACAAGCAAAUGGCACUUAGCCCUGUGGAAGGGAUCCUGUGCUCAAGCCAGCUUGACAUGGUUUCUACAGAAGGCAUCUGUUUGGAGAUGGAGAAACCGAGAAUAGUGUGUCUCAUCCCCCCCCACCCCAUUUCAUUUGGCUCAUCACUGGUCAUGUAUUUGCUACAGCGUUAUUCCCCGUGACUGAGCUUCUAAGGCAUCACCUGAUCUUGGGACCAGCUGCACUUAUAAAAUGCUUAGAAAAGCUUUUGGAGGGACCUCACUCUUUUUGUUUGUUUGUUUGUUUGUUUGUUUGUUUGUUUGUUUUUGUUCAUGAGUAAGCUAGACAUUUCGGUCCCCUCCAGAAGCGGCAAGCACCAGGAAGAGACUCCUUUCUUUGGGAUCAAUUUCCCACCCUUUGAUUUUAAGAUGGUCUGUUUUUCGGCAACUUUGCCUUGCAUUCUUUGACUCACUUUUCAAGUCAAUAAAUAAAGCACAUUAGCGUUAUGUCUCUGUUGGAGUCAGAGUUCUGUCCUUUAGAACAGUGGUUUAAAAGGUAGAGUGUUUUGAAAUUACCCCUGGGAAUGUUUUGGAAAUCUGUGUGGGAGGGAGGAUUAGUUGUCACAAUAUUUGGGUAGCACUGUUGGUCUGGGACAGUUCUGUCAACUUUUGAACAUCCCACCAGAUAUUUGUGUAAGAAAAUCCAACAGCCCAACACCCUAUUUAUGAUUAUCUGAGCCCAGAACCCAACUCCAUUUUACAUGUAAACACAAAAUAUCUUUUGUGGGGUUUUAAUAUGCGCUGAGUUCCAUGAAGGCAACUACAAUGUAAAAAGAGGGAAGAUCAUACUUUAUUUUGCUUGCUCUACUAAGAAUUGCCUGCCAUUGCAGAAAAUCCUAUCACUGGCUUGGGGUAUUUUACUUGCCAAUAUGAAACACCUGCAUUAGGCUUCAUUUAUAGCCGUCACUUGCAUGUGGGACUCAAUGUCUACUUCAUUAUGCCUUCUCCUUUCAUGCCUUUGUAUCAUAUUAUUACUUUCCUUUUAUCUCCCCUUUAUAUGUUAGAAUAUUGUGUUGGUUUUUUAAAAACUAUGUUAUAGGUGAAUGAUACGAAGUAUGAAUGCACUUUAGAAUAGUUAAGGGGCUGUUACAAAGUAUUGGUUGUAAAAAGUGGGUCUUGGGUCUAAUAAGGUUGAGAACGCUUCCUUUAGAAGGCAAUGAAGCCCUGCUUUUUAGUCUGGAUCUAGAGGAAUCUUGAACCUCAACUCUGUACUUAACAUAAGAAGUUAAGAGAAAUUUCAAGGUAUAUAGUGUGCAAGUGUUUUCCGAACAACAUCUACUUGGAAGUACGAAGUUUCAAAAAGUUUCAAAAAAAUGGAAUAUAAUUACAUCGUAUACUACACUCUAAAUACAACUAUAUAUGCAAUAUAUAGUAGACAUUGGAUGUAUAUAUAUAAAAUAUCAAUAAUAACACAUGCAAUUGUAUGAACAUGUACUAAGGGGUAACACUCUCCCUUCAUGUAACUGUUUGAAAUAAGCUUUAACUCUGAAUUCCAAGUUCUAACCCCAAAGGAAGGACAUACUUUAAAAAAUGUUAAGCUGAAUGAGUACAAUGCAGGACUUCAUCAUGAAAACAUCUUUGUCACCCUGGUUUUUCUUCCAUGCCUGCUCAUCAGGCCCUGAAAGAGACAUCCACACCCAUGACUGCAUUGCCCGACUUUCUUGGGAGUUUCCUCUCCUGACCCUGGUGGAGGCCUGAUCUUGUUUUGUUGCUGUUGCUAUAGGAGCAGCCCGAGUCGCAGGGGUGACUCCAUCACUACAACAAAUGCAUGCAAAAAGCUGAGAAGCAGAUUUCAGCCUUCAAGACUUCAAACACGGAGGAAUGAAAACAAUCUGUGCAAUUUAAAUAGAAUAAAUCCCAAUGCCCCCAAGGGAAGUGGGUGUUUAUUUGGGGGCUGUAAGCACCACCAGCUCGAGGCUUUACUCAUGACAAACUGAACGUCCAGGGCAGUGUGUGAGUGCGUCUGUUGUACUGGGGGUUUAUGGCCCCCCGAGCUGGGCCAGGGGAGGAGAAAAACAAAUCAGCACAGCUUAGGACUUCCUUCCCAGGCGUCCAGCCCGCCACGCUCCGGUGCAUCCACGCUGCUGCUGUCACCCUAUUAGUCACAACAGCCUCUCCUAGAGAGGGACUGAUUGCAGACCCGCUGACUCAGCGUCCUGGCGUAGGUGGAGCCCAAGCGUGGCGCGUCGCGCGUGAGCGACCCUCAGGAUGGGGCGGGCAGGUGCAUCCAGUGCUGCGCCGUUUGACCGCAUGGCCGCAGAGGUCACCAGUUGGGUAGAAGCUACUCAAGGUGCCCGGCACCCUGGUGAGAACCAGAGGGAUUCUGGCGGUUGGGGCGCACAAGGCGAGCACUUGCGAAGGCCACGCAGGCGGGCGAGGGCUCUCAAUGUCCUGCCAGCAGCGUGCCAGGGAGGACGGGUUCCAAGACUGCUGGGCAAAGCAGAUCGCAGACCGGGAAGAAAAGCUUUACAGAGCUUUACCUUGUAAAAUGUGGCUGGGCGCUUCCUGACUUGGUUAGGAACUGCUAGUUUUUAAUCCUGUUAUGUUACUACUGGCCUUUUAUUAUUACAUAUGGGAAGACAGCAUUAAGUUAUUAAAAUUAAGUUAUUAAAAAUUGUAGCCAUAGUUUUAUAGAAAAAAAUUGAGCAGAAAGUACAAAGAAUUCCCAUGUGUGGUGUUCCCUCUUCCUUCCCAAGGGGGUUUCCUUAUUAUUAACGUCUUGCAUUAGGGGAUUACAUUUGUUACAAUUGACCAAUCAAUAUAGACACAUUACUAUUAACUGUAGUUCAUGGUUUCAUUAGGGUUCACUCUUGGUGUUGUACUGUUCUAUGGGUUUUGGCAAACACAUGUCAUGUAUUGAUCAUUAGGGUAUCAUACAGAAUAGUUCCACAGCCCUAAAAACCCCCUGUGCUCUGCCUAUCCAUUCCUCCCUCCUUCACCUCUUCCCUAGCCCCUGGGAACCACCGAUCUUUUUAUGUGGUCCUAGUUUUGCCUUUUCUGGAAUGUCAUAGAGUUGGAAUGGCAUAGUAUGCAGCCUUUUCAGAUUGGCUUCUUUCAUUUAGCAAUAUGCACUUAAGUCUCUUCCAUGUCUGUUUUUUUUUUUUUUCUUUUUAAAGAAGGCUACACUCCCAACACUGAGCCCAACUCACAGCUUCAACUAACUCCCAACCCUGAGAUCAAGAUCUCAGCGGAGAUCAAGAGUCCCACGCUUGGGUCCCCUGAGUGGAUCAGUCAGUUAAGCCUCCGACUCUUGCUUUCAGCUCAGGUCACGAUCUCAUGGUUUGUGAGAUCCACCCCUGCAUUAGGUUCUACAUGGACAGUGUGGAGCCUGCUUGGGAUUCUCUCUCUCCCUCUCUCUCUGCACCUUCCCCACAUGCUCUCAAGUGUGUGCCCACGUACUCUCUCUCUCUUUCAAAAUAAAUAGAAUAAACAUUUAAAAAAAAAAGAGUCUCACACUUAACCACCUGAGUCACCCAAAUGCCCCUCCUCCAUGUCUUUUCAUGGUUUGAUAGAUUUUUUUUUGUUUGAACAUAAUACUGAAUUUUAUUUUUUUUAAUUUACAUCCAUAGAUUUUUUUUUUAAAUCACUGAAUAAUAUUCCAACAUACGGAUGUUCUACGGUCUGUUUAUCCAUUCAUCUAUUGAAGGACAUCUCGAUUGCUUCCAAGUUUUGACAGUUAGUUACUGGCUCUUUUUAUGUAUCUGUAAUUAAGAGAUUACAAAUCAAAAGUAAUCUUCAUGUUAGUGUUUUUUAACCAAACAUAAUUAUUAAUGACUUUCUGCAUCCAAACACAUUUGGGCACUCUGAUAUCGCUCGCACAUUGGUCUAACACCUCUUCUGCACAUAUAUAUUGAAUAUAUUAUUCAAUUAUUAUAAAAUGAUAUUGAAUUAUAAAAUUCAAUUAUUAUAAAAUGAUAUUAUUCAAUUAUUGUAAAAAUGAUAUUGUAAAAAUGAUACCCAGGGGUGCCUGGGUGGCUCAGUUGGUUAAGCAUCUGAUUCUUGAUUUUGUCAUAAGUAAUAAUCUCACCAUUUGUGAGAUCAAACUCCAUGUCGGGCUCUGUGUUGACAACACAGAACCUGCUUGGGAUUCUCUCUCUUCCUCUCUCUCUGCCCUUCCCCCACUUGCAUGCACGAGGCUGAACAAUCUCCCUCUUUCUCUCAAUAAACUGAUAAAAAAAUGAUACCCACUUCAGAUGAACAUUUUUCCAAAUAUGAAACAUAUAAAGUGAGAAGUAAAAUCCUACUUUCACACCAGCCCCAAGCCCAUUCCCACUGCUCAGGGGUAACCACUCUUAACAUUUUUAUGUGUAUCCUACUAGCUAUUGACUCUUCAUAUACAAGCAUAUGUGUAUCUUAUCUUUUGAGGGUAACAAAAUAUGCCUCCUGGAAAACAUGUGUGGAAAUAAUUUCUAAGGAAGGUGUCCUGCUUUUGCUUUAACAAAGUGCAUUUGAAAAUAAAGUCAAAUGGAACACUUAUUUUACGUCCACUUUUUGACACCUUCAACAAGAGAGAGACUUUUGAUUCCUUUUCUCCAAAAUGUUACCCAGUUCCCUGGUCCCUAGAGCUACACCAAAUGUACGAGACAUUGUAUCAUUCCUGAGCAGUAGGAGAGUUUGGAAGGUGACCUCAUCUGUCUAACCUCCAGCUGCAAAUUCUUAGAUCAGCCAUUAUUUGUAUUCUCUUAUUCUUACUAGAUUCUUGGUGGUGACACUCUUACCCCAGGAAUUGACUUGUCUCUUCUUUGGUGACCAAAGUUAGCAGAAUAAACUCUUGAGGGGGUGAGGGGAGGCUCCCUUUAAUUCCCCCGAGUAUUCAUAGCAUAAAGGGAUUUUUUAAAAAACACAGGCUCGGGGCACUGGGUGGCUCAGUUGGUUGAACGUGCGACUUUGGCUCAGGUCAUGAGGUCAUGAUCUCGUGGUUCGUGAGUUUGAGCCCCACAUCAGGCUCUGUGCUGACAGCUAGGAGCCUGGAGCCUGCUUCGGAUUCUGUGUCUCCUUCUCUCUCUGCCCCUUCUCUGCUUGCACACUGUCUCUCUCUCUCUCAAAAAUAAAUAAACAUUAAAAAAAAUGUUUUAACUAAAAAAGCCCAGGCCCGUCUGUCAGAAUAUCUGUCCUGCCAAAAACAUUAUCUGCAGUUCUUUGGAAAAUGAGAAUAGGAAAUACUACAAGCUCCUAACCUCCAUUAGAGGAAAUAAUAACCACAGUGCAGGUUCAAAAGGUAACCAAAUACUCAUGGUUUCCAUGUAAAAGACAUAGUCACAGAAACCACUCCCUCUUGCCCUUGCUUUUGCCACAAUAAUUUAUAAUUAAAAACUCUUUUCAUAGAAUAAAAUAUUAGUGGUUUUACAUUGGACCUUGAACCUCUAGGAAGUUUUAUUUCUUUUGUAAAUGUCCUCAUUACUGAAGUUUGAACAACACUGUAUUAUUAGACUGCUGGGAAAGGAACCUCCCCCACAUGUGAUGUCAGUGAAGGAAUGAGGACACUCAUUGGCACUUGGAUUGGUUCCAUUGGCAGACCCCUUGCACAGAGAGGGUUUUGCUCUUUUUAAGUUUGGUAUAUGAGCAAACCAAAGGUUAGUGAGAGACUGCUUUAUGUAAGAACUUCCUGCCUGGCAAAUUUCAUUCAGUUCUUUUUAGUCUUUUUCAGCAGCCUCUUGAGUAUCAACCAAAUAGAAAAGUAGAAACAAGGGGCACCCAGAUGGCUCAGUUGGUUAAGCGUCCAAUUUUGGCUCAGGUUGUGAUCUCAGGGUCAUGGGUUCGAGCCCCACGUUGGGCUCUGUGCUGAUGGCUCAGAGCCUGGAGCCUGCUUCAGAUUCUCUGUCUUCCUUUCUCUCUGCUCUUCCCCCACUUGCACUCUGUCCCUCUCUCUCAAAAAUAAUAAAUGAACAUUUAAAAAUUAAAGAAAAAGUAGAAACAAGAGUGGAAAGAACCAAAAAAUGGGCAUCAAGAAAUACAAACUAUCCAGGGAUUUAACAGUAAGAGACAAAUAAUGGGUUUCAUCUGAUGCAUAUGGAAUAUUAAUAUUUAAUUUAUCUAAAUUUUACAGAUAAAUGUAUGUAGAUGGGAGAUAUUAGGGGUAAUCUUUUUGUUUUUGUUUUUUUCAGUUAUGUGGCACUGUUACCAGCAAAUCGUCACAUUUGUUCUAUUUCUGACCAGUAGUGUAUAUAAGGAAACUACAGGGGGAGAGAGUACUGAAAUGGUGUAUCUUCUUGUAAAAUAUGGAAGUGGUAGGAUGACAGAGGAGAAAAGCCAACCCAGUACAUGGUCUUCUGAUGGUCCUAAAUUCCUAAACUCAGCUAGGUCAGAGGGAACCAUUUCCUGGGAGCAAGUCUUCCAUAAACACCACGAAUCACUUGGCCUAAUGUUUUAUCACUAUUUAGAUUACGCUCUGAAAUAAUAACUAAGCAACUAGGUCACUGAACAGUUCAUUUAUAAGUACGUGCCGGCUAUUCGUUGGUACAGAAGAUGUUUUCCAGACUUGAAAAUCUGUGAUACUCUUGAGUUUUCCCAAGAUGUCCACCUACUGAGUACAGGCUGUCCAAAGAGGGCGACUAGUCAACCGCCCUGACAGUGAACUCAGAGCAUCACAGCAGUUCAGUCUCACAAGCAGGAAUGAUCUGAAGGCUUGCUGCUCCCUCUCACUUUAAAGUAUCUUCAGGUUCAAGAACUCUAGCACUCCUGUAUUCCCACAAAUACACAACAUCAGACUCCUCCCUGCAGUUAAAUAGGUCAACAGGCUGCUACAACCAAAUGCACGUUAAAUUGUUUGAGUGUGUCCAUGGGAAGGACACAAAGUUUGUUUUUUAUUAAAAAAAAUUUUUUUUAACAUUUAUUUAUUUUUCGAGAGAUAGAGACAGAGCGUGAGCAGGGAGAGGGGCAGAGAGAGAGGGAGACACAGAAUCUGAAGCAGGUUCCAGGCUCGGAGCUGUCAGCACAGAGCCGGAGGCAGGGCUCGAACUCGUGAUCUGGGAGUUCGUGACCUGAGCCGAAGUCGGAUAUUUAACUGACUGAACCACCCAGGCACUCCAGGACACAAAGUUUUAAAUUUUAUUUUUCCUAGGCUUUUUGGUUUUUUUGUCAGGAGAGAAAAUUGGUUAAGGAGGUUUGCUUUGGGGUUUCUCUUUUGCUGUGAUAUCUGUUAAUGCAUACCUUGAUGUGACAAUAAACUGUCAUUCAUGAAAAGUUAUUCGUAUUUUCAUGUGGCUCUUUAUUUAUUUUGAUAUUUAACAUUCCACUGAGCAUCAGAGAUGUAACACAUACCAUCCUAAUUGAAUUCAGAUGUCAUUUCUGACGAUCAUAUUUUAACCGCUUGUUUCAUUGAGUAAUUUUAAAGGCCCAUUGGUUCACUUGAAUAUUCUGUACACUAAUCUGAUGAUUUCCUUUCAAUUUGGCUAAUAAUGCAGGAAGAGGUUAGAUAUUUACAGGAAAUAUUUCAAGUAAUUGGAAACAAUUGGCACUUUCACAUGUGCACACUUUCCAUUUGCAGACAGGGUAAUAGAACCCUAAGUAAUUAUAGUCAAAUAGCCCUCCAGCUGUGUCAUUCUGAGCACAUAAAUCACAUCCUGUCAAUAUUCCAUCAGUCAGAUGGGCCAACAAGCAGUAAUAUAUUUAUGAAUUCUGUAUAACUAUUAAUAGAAUAUGAACAAGUAGAUCUGAAAGGGUUCUAUUUAGAAUAGGACCUAUUUUCAUAAAAGGAGGGAGAAUUCCUAUUUGAGAUAAAACGUGUUUAUUUCUCUCCAUUCACCCUGUAGAUAGUAGAGAGAAGAGCUUCAUUUCUGUUUCCUUCUGACUGGGUAGGAAGACACUCCACCCCCUAGUCCCAUCCCCACAUGCCACUGGGACCGUAUUUCCUUCUGUGGCUUAGAGGAAAAGGAUCCAUGGUUCAUCCUUGGCAGAAUCAGAGCCUGUAUCCACUCGUCAUGGGACAGGCAAACAAGAGGACAGACCACCCACGAGCAGGCUGGAGGGCUUCAGUCAGGCUGGCUUUCAUUUCCUUAGCUAUCAAUUACGGCAUAUGCCAGAAGAAAAAAACUUACACAUUUCAGUAACCCGAACAUCCACGGGUAUGUUGGGUCUAUGGGUACAAGCACAUUCCCGUUGGUAUUGGUAGCUGAACUCUGUUGACUUAUUAGUUCCAACCUACACAGCCCAGUCUCCACAUUUAAAACUCUCGUUGUCAACAGAUGAAUGGAUAAACAAAAUGUGGUAUAUACAUAUGAUGGAAUAUUAUUCAGCUUUUAAAAGGAAGGAAAUUCAGAUGCAUGUACAACAAGGAUGAACCAUCAAGAUAUUAUGCUAAGUGAAAUAAGCCAAACAUAGAAGGACAGAAACUGUAUGAUUCCACUUAUACGAGGCCUAAAGUAGUCAAAUCCAUAGAGACAGAAAGUAGGGUAGAGGUUAACCAGGGCUGGGGGAAGGGAGGAAUGCGCAGGUAGCAUUUAAUGGGUUUACUGGGUACAGAGUUUCAAUUUAGGACGAUGAGAAGUUCUGGAGAUAGAUGAUGGUGAUGCUUGCUCCACAGUGUAAACGUAUUUCAUGCCACUGACUGUACACGUAAAAAUGAUUAAAAAAAAAAUGUUAAAUUUCAUAUUACAUAUGUUUUACUAUAGUAAAAAACAGCCAGCACCGGAACAUUUUAAAAAAUAGAUAGUACUUUUACUUGUUCCUGAGACACCCCAGAAUUGCCUCACGUUUACUCAGAAGCAAACUGGGUCUUGUUCACCAUUUUGGUUUCCUUAUAUAAAUCCUCUGCCCAGAUGCUUUCAAGGAAGAGAUGGCUUAUUCACUGCCCCUGCUACCAAGUGUCUUCCCUCCCCCCACACAAAGGUAUUUCCCUUCCUGCUGAAUUCCCAGUGCUACACACCCUCUUAUACCCUGAGGGGCACAGAUUCCUUUCAGUCCUGUGCCCCAUCACCACCACCACAACUGAGCUGUGUGCCACACAGAGAUGGAGAAAGCACUCCUCUCCCUAGUGCUCUGUGCCACAACUUGGGACCCAAAGCAAAAGGUGUAUGCCUUGAGGCUCCCCAGUUCAUUCUAGAACAGCUUCUGUUUCUAACCCAUUUAACCACAGGGGCUCAAAACUGGCCCAAGAACUAGAAAAAGAACCAACCAUACCAUUGUCCUAAGUUCUUCCCCAGGCUUCUGCACAAAAACUCUGUCCAAGUACUUACUUUAGCUAAAACUGGGAAGGAAACAGGGCAAUUUAUUCAAGCAGUAACCCAAAGUGAGGAAGGAGAUGGCUAGGUCCUCACCGCAAAAUCUUGCUCAGACUCAGCCAGAAUGAUCUGGUCCCAAUUUUAAAACCUAGUGUUCUUCCAGGGAGCUGUGGCUCCCAAUAAGUGUUCAAGGUAUUUUUUCUAUGUCUUGUAUAAGAAAGUGGUUGAUGCAGUGACUGUUAUUGAUAAUUACACCUCUAGGGGUGCCUGGGUGGCUCAGUCCCUUAGGCUCCGACUUAGGCUUAGGUCAUGGUCUCACAGUUUGUAGGUUUGAGCCCCGCAUCGGGCUCUGUGCUGACAGCUCACAGCCUGGAUCCUGCUUUGGAUUCCGUGUCUCCCUCUCUCUCUGCCCCUCCUCCACUUGUGCUCUUUCUCUUUCCAAAUAAUAAAUAAACAUUAAAAAAAACACUUUUUUUUUUUUAAGAGAAAGGAGAGGGAAAUUUGGAUACAGAGACGCAGACACACAGAGAAGGCCAUGUGAUGACAGGCAGAAUUUGGAGUGAAUACAGCUACAAGCCAAGGAGCUCCAAGGAUUUCUGGCAGCCACCGGCAGCUAGGAGAGAGGCAUGGAGCGAAUUCUCCUGAGUCCCCAGAAAGAACCAUCUCUGCCAAGACCUUGAUUUCAUACUUCCAUCCUCUUGAAUUGUGAAAGCCCCCUCCCCCGCUUCAGUUUGUAGUACUCUUGUUAUGGAGCCAGUAACACCCACGGAAGAAGGUUUUCUCAGAGUUACUUUGUAGGGAAAGCUUUACUUCGGUUUGCUAUUGUCUUAGGAAUCAUAUGACUUUCGUAACUAAUCCAGUUUUCUUUUCUGCUUGGGCCACCAGAAAGUUCUGCAUAGACCUCGUGACCCAACUAUAGGAUGUUAUGGAAUAAAUUUGUGUAUAUUCAUCUCUUUUCUCUUCCCCUGAUUCUAAAACCUCAGUGUAUUUUUCUAUGUUAUUUUAUUGAUUUAUUUGCUACAGACUCUUCUUUUUUUUCAUUUUUUGGACUAAGAGGAGAAAAAAAGUAGUAACUGUCUUUCUCCCCCUUCCCCAGGGGAAAGAGCUAACUAUUAUUAGCCCAGAUUAUUAGCUCUGAAAGAAGCUAGAUUACUUUUUGAACUGAAAUGACCUUCUCAUUUCAGAGUUCAGAGUUCAAUCUUCUCAUUUCAGACCUGAGAAAACAGAAGCCUAAGGUUAUAUGAUUAGAUACGAGUAGAUGUUACCAUUCAUGUCUUUGAUUAUUCCAAACACUUUUGCCAUUGGGUAUCAGGUGUCUGAUAGGGAGGCAGCAGUAAGUAAUUGGAAUUUCAUAUAGUGGUACAGACUAACGAUGCCAAUUGAAAUUAUGUGUGUUGUUGAAUAUUAAUAGUAAACAUUUUAUCCUUUAGUAAAAUCAAGUGGCUACUCACCUACAUUUUGCUGUCAGAUCCCCAAAGCAAACAAAUCUCUGAGUUAUUGGACAUUUUGUUAAUUACAAAGCUAAAAACUUCUAGCAGAAGACCUGUUUCUAGAAAUGGAGGGCCAGAUUAUUGGGAAUCACCUUAAAACAAUUGGGAAGUUGAAAAGAAUUGAGAAGUGGUGACUGGCUAGCUUAUUAAAAGGCUGUUUUCAGAAUAAUACAUAAAAUGGGAGGGGGAAGGGGCAAAGCAGGGCCUUCAAAGCUGCAUACAACCUAGGGCACUGAAGGCAACAUCAUUUGGCUAAAUGUGUUUGCCCUGCAGGGUAAGGGGGACAGAAGUCCAAGCCCAGCAUAGGCAGCAGUUCUAGAAGAUUGUCCCUUUAGCACUUAAGCUUAACCCUCCGUGUAACACCCUCAGUGUAAGAGUUAAACAGAAUUAAACAUGCUUUUCUGCCUCACAACCAUGAGAGACGAGAAAAUGCUACCUUGGAGCUGAGCAGACCAGAAGAAAAACAAAGAAAAGGAACAAUAGGUCCCAUGGAAAAUUGGCCACGGACUAGUCCCCACAUGCAUUUUCACUCUGGGUGCAUAUAGUCUGGGGGAGCUGCACUACAUGCAGCUUAAAUGUGGUUUGAGAAAUGUAGAAACGAAGUAUAGAAAUUAAGAAAUGUGGGGCGCCUGGGUGGCGCAGUCGGUUAAGCGUCCGACUUCAGCCAGGUCACGAUCUCGCGGUCCGUGAGUUCGAGCCCCGCGUCAGGCUCUGGGCUGAUGGCUCAGAGCCUGGAGCCUGUUUCCGAUUCUGUGUCUCCCUCUCUCUCUGCCCCUCCCCCGUUCAUGCUCCGUCUCUCUCUGUCCCAAAAAAAUAAAUAAAUGUUGAAAAAAAAAAUUAAAAAAAAAAAAAAAGAAAUUAAGAAAUGUAGGUAAAAUUCAAUGGGCAGCUUGAAUGUGGUUUGAGGCUGUUCCCAAGUAGUAGUUGAUGAGAACCAAGGCAAAAGAAAUAUAGGCAAAAUUAAAUCUUACAACCUGCAGCUCGUUGACAAAUCCUUGAGACAGGCGGAGGGACCUUCCUCCAGGAACUCAACUGCCUUCAUGUUAAUGCUUUACUAGAGGCAAAAAGCAACCUUAGUUUGACAUUAGCCAGAAAUCCAGGAUCCUGUAAGUCUUCUUUAACGUAUGAAAAUUUCUUUGGAAACUUCCUUUAUCUCUAACCCGCCAAGAUAUAUGUUAGCAAGCAUCCUUCAAACAUACGGCCUGCUUAUAUACUUCUGAAGGGUCUCAUGACUAAUGUUUCACUAGACGGUAGUAAAUAACCUUAUCUUAACAGCAGCUAGCCCCUCAAGUCCUGGAAGCCUUGCUCCCAAAUUCCUUAGAGAUUUACCCUAUCCCCAACCCCCACUAACUAAAAAGCAGCCAUUCCUCACAAUCUCAGUACAGCGCUUUCUACCCACAGGUCCUGUCUCAGUGCUUUAAUAAAACCACCUUUUUUGCACUGAAGAUGUCUCAAGAAUUCUUUCUUGACCAUUUGCUCCCAGACCCCACAUCACCCCAACAUCACAUUAGUAGCGAGACUCUGAUGGCAGCAAAUGCAACACCUCCCAGGAGGAGAGUCUAGGCCUCAGGAAAACCUCACAUGCAGUUGUCAAGGGCAAUGGCAAAUACCCAGUUACAGGUAACCAGGCACACAAGAGGGUAAGACAACACGAGGAAGAACCAGCAGAAACAGCAGAAGAAAAUGGCUAUGCAGACUUCAAGCAUCAGAAUUCUCAGGCUCAUUAUAAAAUGACUUCACUUACCCAGUUUAAAUAAAUAAAUGACAAAAUUGAAAAUAUUUGCAGGAACUGUAAAAAUAACAUAGAUUGGGGGUGCCUGGGUGGCCCUGGUGAAGCAUCCAACUCUUGAUUUUGGCUCAGGUUCACGAUUCAUUAGAUUGAGCCCCACGUUGAGCUCUGUGCGAAUGGUGCAGAACCUGCUUGGGAUUCUGUCUCUCCCUCUCUCUGCCCCUCUCCACCCCUUUUAAAAUAAAUAAAUAAACUUUUUUUUUAAAAGGACCAAACAGAAUGUAUAUAUAUUAUCAAAUCUCUAUAUAUUUAUUAUAAAUUAUACACAUACAUAUCUGGAUGAACAUCUUUGGUGGUAGAUUGGAUACAAUAGAAGAUUAGUGGACUGAAAAUAGCUCAGAAUAUACUAUCAAGAAUUUAGAACAGGGAGUCAAAAAUAUGGACAACACAAAGCACAGAGAAGAGAACUGGAAGAGACAGAGAGAUCCAACACACAUUUACAAAUUAUACAUCUUCCCUUUCUUAAAGAUGGUGCCAAAACCAAAGGAGAAAGCCCUUGUCCUUCCCAAAGCCAAAGCCAAAGCAAAGGCUUUAAAGGCCAAGAAAGCAGUGCUGGAAGACAUCAACGGUCACCAAUAAAGAAAAUCCAAAUGUUGCCCACCUUCCGAAGGCCCAAGACACUGCAUCUCCCGAGGCAGCCCAAGAAUGCCAUCAGGGGAAAGAAGCUUCACCACUAUGCCAUCAGUUCAUCCUGACCCCCUGACUGUCUUCAGCUGUGAAGAAAACAGAAGACAACAGCAUACUUGUGUUUAUUGUAGACAUCAAGGCCAACGAGCACCAGAUCAAAUAGGCAGUGAAGAAGCUCUUUGACAUGGACAUGGCCUAGUCAACACCCUGACCAGGCUCAAUGGAGAGGAGAAGGCAUAUGUUUGCCUCCGACUAUCAUGUUUUGGGUGUCGCCAACAAAAUUGGGAUCAUCUAAACUGAGCCCAGCUGGCUAUGUCUAAAUAUAAGUUUUUUCACCAAAAAAAAAAAAA